rnacentral:rRNA from 1 species
CCCCACUAUGCCUAGCCGUAAACUUUGAUGGAAACAUACAACUGACAUCCGCCAGGGGACUAUAAGCGCCAGCUUAAAACCCAAAGGACUUGGCGGUGCCUCAGACCCACCUAGAGGAGCCUGUUCUAGAACCGAUAACCCCCGUUCAACCUCACCACCUCUUGUUUUCCCCGCCUAUAUACCACCGUCGUCAGCUUACCCUGUGAAGGCCUUAUAGUAAGCAAAAUGGGCAAAACCCAAAACGUCAGGUCGAGGUGUAGCGCAUGGGGUGGGAAGAAAUGGGCUACAUUCUCUAAAUUAGAGCACUACGAACCACGCUGUGAAACCAGCGUCCAAAGGUGGAUUUAGCAGUAAAUAGAAAAUAGAGAGUUCUCUUGAAACUGGCUCUGAGGCGCGCACACACCGCCCGUCACUCUCCCCAAGUUCAAUUAACCCUUCUAACUAAGAAAUUAACCGAACAAAGGGGAGGCAAGUCGUAACAUGGUAAGUGUAC